AUUGAACGCUGGCGGCAGGCCUAACACAUGCAAGUCGAGCGAGCGGCGGACGGGUGAGUAAUGUCUGGGAAACUGCCUGAUGGAGGGGGAUAACUACUGGAAACGGUAGCUAAUACCGCAUACCAUCAGAUGUGCCCAGAUGGGAUUAGCUAGUAGGUGGGGUAACGGCCCACCAAGGCGACGAUCCCUAGCUGGGCUGAGAGGAGGACCAGCCACCCUGGAACUGAUGCACGGUCCAGACCCCUACGGGAGGCAGCAGGGGGGAAUAUUGCACGAUGGGCGCAAGCCGGAUGCAGCCAUGCCGCGUGUGUUAAGAAGGCCUUCGGGUUGUAAAGCACUUUCAGCGGGGAGGCGUUACCCGCAGAAGAAGCACCGGCUAACUCCGUGCCAGCAGCCGCGGUAAUAC
rnacentral:rRNA from 1 species